rnacentral:rRNA from 1 species
GCAACCUGCCCAUAUCAGGGGGAUAGCCCGAAGAAAUUCGGAUUAACACCGCAUGUGAUUAUAAGAUGGCAUCAUCAGUAAUUAAAUAUUUAUAGGAUAUGGAUGGGCUCGCGUGGCAUUAGCUAGUUGGUUGGGUAACGGCCGACCAAGGCGACGAUGCCUAGGGGCUCUGAGAGGAGAAACCCCCACACUGGUACUGAGACACGGACCAGACUCCUACGGGAGGCAGCAGUAAGGAAUAUUGGUCAAUGGGCGGGAGCCUGAACCAGCCAUGCCGCGUGCAGGAGGACGGCCCUACGGGUUGUAAACUGCUUUUGCCAGGGGACAAACCCCCGCUCGCGAGCGGGGCUGAGGGUACCUGGAGAAUAAGGAUCGGCUAACUCCGUGCCAGCAGCCGCGGUAAU